rnacentral:sRNA from 1 species
AGAGAUAAAAAUGUCUGAUACUUUCAGGCCAAAUCCUUCAUUUGGAGACCCCAGCCUUCCUGCCUGUUACCCUCUCAGAUGAUGACAGCAGAAAAUAUCAGGCCCAACUUAUGCCCAGAGAACUACAAUACCAUAGUGAUAGAUUGAGGAGAUUAAAAAAGUAACAUAGAUAAAUGGUAAAUAAAUAAGUAAAAGGUGCCACAAGCAAUAAACACUACAGAGAAGACAACAGAUUCAUAAUGAGAGCCAAUCAAGUAAAUCUCAAGGCAAAAAACACCACCAGAGUAGAGUGCCAACUGAAAAAUAAAGAAAGCAAAUCUGACAAGAAGAGCAGGACAGCCCCCACAGAAUAACAGAAAACCACAGUUAAUAUAGAAAUGCAUACCCAUGUUAAAGAAUGAAGUGAUGCAACAGCAACUAAAGGCACAGAAAAUAGGAAACCAAAGUAAAAGUAGAAAUAGCUAUACAAAAAAUAAAAAUAUAGUUGAAAUAAUCUUCAAGAUCAAAUCAAUGUGUAGUAACAAAGAAGCAUACAACUGAGAAAAAUAGUGCACAAACAACACAACAAUUCAAUGCAUCAAAAGAAUAAUACAUAUUUCCGGUCUCACGAAUUCCGCUC